rnacentral:ncRNA from 2 species
GUAUCAUGGCGGGGUUUUGGUGCUCGCAAUCAGAUUCCUUGAUUGCAGUUAAACGGGAAACACGCGCUCCGGUCAGGUAACUAUCCGAUGACUGCAGCGACAAACGUGUGCUGUCCCCGCAACGGUAAAACAGGCGCCGUGCAGGAUGUUGCUGCAUGGCAGGUUGUCUCAAUAGUCCACUGUGCCGCUUCAGAUUUCAGGCAUGGGAAGGCGAGGCGAUCGGUCCUGUUAGCCCGGAUACCGGCCAGAACGGAUGGAAGCGA